AAUGAACACAGAAAACAAUAACAUAUAUACAUAAUCAAUGUAUAUGAAUAACAUAUACAUGAUGGCAUCAUUCUGGCGGUAUGUUCUAAGAUUGCUCCAAGUAUCAGAACCCAGGAAUUAAGCAGGAAUAUUUGUUCUUGUUAUGCUAAAGAUUCAAGUUCAGCUUUCAAUUUAUCGAACCCUUUGAGGUUAGCAUAUCUGUUCCCAUUUGUAUUUGCAAGGAUAGUUAACUUAUCUCUUGGCGUCCCGGGUUCUGGGUUCAACUCUCGCUCGUUCACAGAUCAACUUAUCUUUUAGGUAUGUUUUAAUAAACUUUUCCCGCUACAGAGACUGCAUUAAUAUCAAGGGAGCAACGGCGUGCCCUGAUUGCCGGAAGAUUGAGCUUGGCAGUUAAUUUUGCCGAGGAUCUAUUUGGGAUCUUUUUGCUGAUGUGGAUGUAAGCACACUUACUUCUGUUUUCAAUCCAUAUAGUGUACCUAGCUCUGCUACAAUCAUUAAUUUCGCAAGUGCAUUUGUCUUUAUAUGAAUACCUGAGAUGAAUUAAAGGGGUGCUUUUGGUUUACAUCUGAUAUGUUUGUACUAGAGUUCUCUGCCAUGGUAUAUUAAGAUUUUGUUGGAUAUUAACCUUUCCUUUCAGUUCGUUCAUAGUAGAGUUCUCUGCUAUGAAUAGUUGAGAUAAAUUAAAGGGGUGCUAUUGGUUUACAUCUGAUAUGUUUGUAGUAGAGUUCUCUCCCACCGCAUAUUAAGAUUUAGUUGAAUAUUAACCUUUCCUUUCAGUUCGUUGAUCAUUUAAGCAACCACAUCUCUAGCCUGUGGGUAUUUUAUCAUAUCUAUUUCUGAGGGAUCUAGGUUCUAGAAGGUAUUUUUUUGUUAUCUGGGAAUUAAAAAUACCGAAUAUCUAUCCAUUUGAUCAGAUGAUGUUUGUUGAUGGAAGUUUUCAACUCGUAUUUACUUAGCGGGUGACCUGGUGCAAGCAUAGAAGUAAUUAAUUAUUAAUUUACUUUCUUUUCCUGUAUCUUCAGGUUUUAUGGUAAGACAGAAUUCUUCGGGGGUGUUGCAAUAGAAUAAUAUGUAUUUCCAUCCAAUUAAAGUUAAACUGGGCAGGGGUAUUUUCGGAAAUACAACUAUAACCACUUAAAAACUCCAUUAAUGCUCUGUGAGAAGAAUUUUGAGUUGUAAUAGAAUUAUUAGUGAAUUUUUAUGGUUUUAUUGAAGAUUUGAUGGUUUUAAACUUAGGGGUUGGAGGUUUAAUGGAGAUUUUGUGAGGUCUCGGGUCCUUAAUCUUUGUUAGAGUUUUAAUCAAGCUUUUGAGGUUUAGUUUAUCAUGAGGUGAGGUUUGAGGUAUUUUUUGGAGUUCAAAUGGAGCCAACUCUUAGGGGUCAUUUGCUUACUUCUGAAUGGAGCUUACUGAUGCUUAGCUGAGCGAUUCCUCUUGUUCAGGUUAUUUGUUGUCUCCCCAAGAUUGUCUGAUCGAAUCUUAUAACUGCUUAGCCGUUCAUUUACAAAAUCGUGCACGACUCAUUCAUACACUCGCAUAUGUUCUGG